rnacentral:tRNA from 1 species
GCUUCGGUAGCUCAGUGGUAGAGCGGAAGAUUGCAGAUCUUCAGGUCCUGUGUUCGAACCACAGUCGGAGCU